rnacentral:sRNA from 1 species
UUUCAACAACGGAUCUCUUGGUUCUGGCAUCGAUGAAGAACGCAGCGAAAUGCGAUAAGUAAUGUGAAUUGCAGAAUUCAGUGAAUCAUCGAAUCUUUGAACGCACAUUGCGCCCGCCAGUAUUCUGGCGGGCAUGCCUGUUCGAGCGUCAUUUCAACCCUCAAGCCCCCGGGCUUGGUGUUGGGGAUCGGCGUGCCCUCGCGGCGCGCCGUCCCCUAAAUCUAGUGGCGGUCUCGCUGUAGCUUCCUCUGCGUAGUAGCAACACUCGCUCUGGAUCGCAGCGCGGCCACGCCGUUAAACCCCCCACUUCUGAAAGGUUGACCUCGGAUCAGGUAGGAAUACCCGCUGAACUUAA